rnacentral:rRNA from 1 species
CAAGUCGAACGAGAAAGUGGAGCAAUCCAUGAGUAAAGUGGCGUACGGGUGAGUAACACGUGGAUCAUCUACCUUUUAGUGGGGAAUAACCCUGGGAAACCGGGGAUAAUACCGCAUAAGCCCGAGAGGGGAAAGCAGCAAUGCGCUGAAAGAGGAGUCCGCGGCCGAUUAGCUAGUUGGCAGGGUAAAAGCCUACCAAGGCAGAGAUCGGUAGCCGGCCUGAGAGGGCACACGGCCACACUGGCACUGAAACACGGGCCAGACUCCUACGGGAGGCAGCAGUGGGGAAUCUUGCACAAUGGGGGAAACCCUGAUGCAGCGACGCCGCGUGAGCGAUGAAGCCCUUCGGGGUGUAAAGCUCUUUCGGCAGGGAAGAUUAUGACGGUACCUGCAGAAGCAGCUGCGGCUAACUACGUGCCAGCAGCCGCGGUAAUACGUAGGCAGCAAGCGUUGUUCGGAGUUACUGGGCGUAAAGGGUGUGUAGGCGGUUGUUUAAGUUUGGUGUGAAAUCUCCCGGCUCAACUGGGAGGGUGCGCCGAAUACUGAAUGACUUCGAGUGCGGGAGAGGAGAGUGGAAUUCCUGGUGUAGCGGUGAAAUGCGUAGAUAUCAGGAGGAACACCGGUGGUGUAGACGGCUCUCUGGACCGUAACUGACGCUGAGACACGAAAGCGUGGGUAGCAAACAGGAUUAGAUACCCUGGUAGUCCACGCCCUAAACGAUGCACAUUUGGUGUGGGCAGUUCAUUCUGUCCGUGCCGGAGCUAACGCGUUAAAUGUGCCGCCUGGGGAGUACAGUCGCAAGGCUGAAACUCAAAGGAAUUGACGGGGGCCCGCACAAGCGGUGGAGCAUGUGGUUCAAUUCGACGCAACGCGAAGAACCUUACCUGGGCUCGAACGGCUGGUCAACGGUGGUGGGAACACUGCUACCCCGCA